rnacentral:misc_RNA from 1 species
CUGUUCGAGCGUCAUUUAUACCAAUCUAGCCUGGCUAGGUGUUGGGCUUCGCCGUCUGGCGGGCUUUAAAAUCAGUGGCGGUGCUCUUCAGCUCUACGCGUAGUAACUUUCUCGCUAUAGGGUCUGAGGAGAUGCUUGCCAGCAACCCCAAAUUUUUCUAGGUUGACCUCGGAUCAGGUAGGGAUACCCGCUGAACUUAG